rnacentral:rRNA from 1 species
AGAAUCAACGCUGGCGGCGUGCCUAACACAUGCAAGUCGCACGAGAAAGUGGAGCAAUCCAUGAGUACAGUGGCGCACGGGUGAGUAACACGUGAAUGAUCUACCUCCGAGUGGGGAAUAACCUAGAGAAAUCUGGGCUAAUACCGCAUAACACUUACGAGUCAAAGCAGCAAUGCGCUUGGAGAGGAGUUCGCGGCCGAUUAGCUAGUUGGCGGGGUAAUGGCCCACCAAGGCGAUGAUCGGUAUCCGGCCUGAGAGGGCGCACGGACACACUGGAACUGAAACACGGUCCAGACUCCUACGGGAGGCAGCAGUGGGGAAUUUUGCGCAAUGGGGGAAACCCUGACGCAGCAACGCCGCGUGGAGGAUGAAAUCCCUUGGGAUGUAAACUCCUUUCGAUAGGGAAGAUAAUGACGGUACCUAUAGAAGAAGCCCGGCUAACUUCGUGCCAGCAGCCGCGGUA